rnacentral:rRNA from 1 species
CAUGUAGGCGGCUUAAUAAGUCGAGCGUGAAAAUGCGGGGCUCAACCCCGUAUGGCGCUGGAAACUGUUAGGCUUGAGUGCAGGAGAGGAAAGGGGAAUUCCCAGUGUAGCGGUGAAAUGCGUAGAUAUUGGGAGGAACACCGGUGGCGAAGGCGCCUUUCUGGACUGUGUCUGACGCUGAGAUGCGAAAGCCAGGGUAGCAACG